UGGAGCAGAUGGAGACUCACAAGCGGAAUGGUGGAGAUAUACUGCAAGACCUGGAGCUCAGGAAGCAGGUUGGCAUGGAGCAUGUGGAGGAACAGGGAAACGCACCUUAGUGUUUCUUUUUCCUGUAAUGGACACACAACAGACAGAAGAAGGAGACUCACAAGAGCAUCGGUGGAGAUUUGUCUGAAAACCG